UACAGAGGGUGCAAACGUUGUUCGGAAUUACUGGGCGUAAAGCGCGUGUAGGCGGUUGGCUAAGUCGACUGUGCAAGCCCAUGGCUCAACCAUGGAAGCGCAGUCGAUACUGGCUAACUGGAGUCCCGGAGAGGGUGGUGGAAUUCUCAGUGUAGAGGUGAAAUUCGUAGAUAUUGAGAGGAACACCGGUGGCGAAGGCGACCACCUGGACGGGUACUGACGCUGAGACGCGAAAGCGUGGGGAGAAAACAGG
rnacentral:rRNA from 1 species